rfam:Triticum aestivum genome assembly, contig: Triticum_aestivum_CS42_TGACv1_scaffold_623085_7DS
AAUUACGGAGUACCAAGAGAUCAGAUACCGUCUUUGUCUCAACCAUAAAUGAUGACGACCAGGGAUCAGCGGAUGUUGUUUAUAAGACACCGCUAGCACCUUAUGAGAAAUCAAAGUCUUUGGUU